rnacentral:rRNA from 1 species
UACGGGGGGGACUAACGUUAUUCAUCAUUACUGGGCGUAAAGGGUACGUAGGUGGCUUUUUAAGUCUUUAUCAAAGAAUCUAAGCUUAACUUAGAAAUUGAUUCUGAUACUACUAAGCUCGAGGUCAAUGUAAGUUAGUUAUAUUCUUGGAGUAAAAGUAAAAUCUUUAGAUAUCGAGAGGAUAGCCGAGUGGUGAAUGCGACUUUCUAAAUUGAUGCUGACACUGAGGUACGAAGGCAUGGGUAUCAAACGGG